UCUUGUUUAUACAUUCUCUAAUCUGUGACACUCAUCCAGUCUACAAUUUUGUACCUUAGUAUUUUUUCGCUGAAUGGAUUUAAAAUCUUGGAUUCAGUUUCAUUUACCUGGCCUUGUGAAAAAAACUUUAUUACAUUUUUAAGAUGUGAUUUUUCUCAAAGCUGAGGUAGUGCUGAGAAUAAGCAAUGCCACAUUUUUACCAUUCCUUGUGAUACACUGCUUUACAUAGUCCAGUUAUGGAGGUGACACUGGCAACUCCUUACUAAUUAGUGCUUUAAGAAACCUAUUGCAAUAUUUCUUUACUAAAUUUGCCAUUUAACCUGUGUUUUAAGAAUAUGAAAUGUCUUUUCAGAAGAUGUGUUAGAACAUUGUUUUCCUAUAAUGCACUUUUAAAAUUGGGAAGGAGUUGAAAAGUAGACAUGAAUUCUUUCUCUAGUGAGUUGGCAAGUAAACAACUCACUGGGAUAAGGGAGCGCUGUCUUGCACAUCGUAUCUCUUUUUGUUCUCUUUCGUCUUAGGUCUUUCUGUGGGAGCAUCUGUGCUGAAAAGUAGUUGGGAAUUGAAGAACAGAGAGCAUUCAGAUAGCCAUGUGGUUGAAAUGAGAGUGACUGAGGAAAGAUCGCUAUUGAUGAAGGAACUAAACUUCUUUAAUGUAGCAUACACCUCUUCAUUCCUUUUUCCUCUCUAUAAUGCAUAUUCUGUUCCCUUUGGAAAUAAUUCUUACCAGGGUGGAUCAGAGGGAGCACUAACAGAGGAAUGCACUUUGAUUGUGACAUAAUCAGCAAAUCAGUGUUUCUAAGGAUCAGUAGCUAAUAAAAUAUACUGUGUCGUUAUCAAAGAAAAAUCUUUGUUGCAAUGAGAUUGAUUGGAAUAGCAUCUUUCCUUUAUUUAUUUAUUUUUUGUACUGGGAAUCGAACUUGGGACCUUGCGCUUGUGAGGCAGGCGGCGGCACCACUGAGCUAAAUUCCCGGCAACAUCUUUCCUUUAAAGUGAAAUUGUCUACUAAAAUAAAGGCCAGUGUGGAAUGUGAAAUAAGCAAACGUCUUUCAGUUGAAUUUGAUUUCUCCCCCCUGCUUCUUACAUUCUCGGAACUCAGAAAAUAUGAGCAAACAAAAUUUAGGUUUUCUUUUGCAUUUGCCAGGAGGUUAUUUAGCGAGGUGAGUUUUUUUUCUCCCUGGUUCAUGGAACUCUAUAAAACAUAUAGUGUUUAUUACUUUGUUUAUAUUUAUUUAAGUCACUAAGGUGAAACUCUAGUGAUGGUGGCAGUGUUACAGUUUUAACAAGUGGGGGUUUAUUUUAUAAAUGUGCCUUUGUGGCCAUAGCUUUCAAAAACUGUACAACGUUGGCAGUGACAUGGUCUUUAUGCCUUUUGGAAAGAAAAUUUGCUGUUCAUUUCCAGUGCAACUACUAGAAUACAAAAUCACCACUGUUAUUUUUUCUACUCAUUGUUAUAGUCAGCAUUUUUGAUUCAUGCUUCACAGAAUUUCACUGUUACAUUCCAAAGUUGUAUCAGGGAGAAAAUGUUUACUUGUUACUUCUGUCAUAAGGAGGAUAACAGAGGAGCCCCUUUCCCUGUGACUCAGAGAGAUUUCUUGUCAGAGUGGCCUUCAGAAUUAAUGUGAUGACUUUCUUCUCUAUUAGCACCAGAUAAAUGAAAAACUAAAUGUAUCAAGGC
rnacentral:lncRNA from 1 species